rnacentral:rRNA from 1 species
UACCAGACUCCUACGGGAGGCAGCAGUGGGGGAUAUUGCACAAUGGGGGAAACCCUGAUGCAGCGACGCCGCGUGGACGAAGAAGUAUUUCGGUAUGUAAAGUCCUAUCAGCAGGGAAGAAGAAAUGACGGUACCUGACUAAGAAGCCCCGGCUAACUACGUGCCAGCAGCCGCGGUAAUACGUAGGGGGCAAGCGUUAUCCGGAUUUACUGGGUGUAAAGGGAGCGCAGGCGGCAGCGCAAGUCUGAUGGGAAAGCCCGGGGCCCAACCGCGGGACUGCAUUGGAAACUGCGCAGCUGGAGUGCCGGAGGGGUAAGCGGAAUUCCUAGUGUAGCGGUGAAAUGCGUAGAUAUUAGGAGGAACACCAGUGGCGAAGGCGGCUUACUGGACGGCAACUGACGCUGAGGCUCGAAAGCGUGGGGAGCAAACAGGAUUAGAUACCCCCGUAC